rnacentral:rRNA from 1 species
GAAGAACGUAGCGAAAUGCGAUACUUGGUGUGAAUUGCAGAAUCCCGUGAACCAUCGAGUUUUUGAACGCAAGUUGCGCCCGAAGCCAUUAGGCUGAGGGCACGUCUGCCUGGGCGUCACGCAUCUCGUUGCCACCCCCUCCACCCA